AUUGGACGCUGGCGGCAGGCCUAACACAUGCAAGUCGAGCGGAUGAAGGGAGCUUGCUCCUGGAUUCAGCGGCGGACGGGUGAGUAAUGCCUAGGAAUCUGCCUGGUAGUGGGGGAUAACGUCCGGAAACGGGCGCUAAUACCGCAUACGUCCUGAGGGAGAAAGUGGGGGAUCUUCGGACCUCACGCUAUCAGAUGAGCCUAGGUCGGAUUAGCUAGUUGGUGGGGUAAAGGCCUACCAAGGCGACGAUCCGUAACUGGUCUGAGAGGAUGAUCAGUCACACUGGAACUGAGACACGGUCCAGACUCCUACGGGGGGCAGCAGUGGGGAAUAUUGGACAAUGGGCGAAAGCCUGAUCCAGCCAUGCCGCGUGUGUGAAGAAGGUCUUCGGAUUGUAAAGCACUUUAAGUUGGGAGGAAGGGCAGUAAGUUAAUACCUUGCUGUUUUGACGUUACCAACAGAAUAAGCACCGGCUAACUUCGUG
rnacentral:rRNA from 1 species